AACGUAAAUUGUUUAAAAAUUUGUUUAAAUAUAUAUUGUGAAAGAAAAGUUUGUUGUGGUGUUUGAAAAGAAAUGUUAAGUAAAGAAAUAGAAAUUUUAGGUUUUUGUUUUUAUUGUAUCAUAAUUUAUAAAGAGUUUUAUGUAUCUUUGUUCCUGAAAGCUUUGGAGUUACUAUAUCUGUAAAUUUUUGUUUCAUAAAAAAAGAAAAUGGUAUAGUUGAAAUGAAAUGUUUUUCGGAAAGGCUGAUAGCUGGUUUAAGGGGAAAUAUAUUUUAGUGUAGGAAUAAAUAAAAUAUGUUGAUACUAUUAAUAGUAUAAAAAAUUGUUUUGAGUUUAUUACUUAGAUUCUUAAGGAUAAUCUUAGGAAUAAAAAGAUGUUUUAAGUAAAAAAAGUAGGGUUAGAAUUGUCUAUCUUUAAGAAUUUAUUAAUAAAGUAAUUAUUAUAAUUUUAUAGUUAAGUACUCUUAUGUUAAUAAAAAUUUUUUGUUAAGAAUUUAGUAUAAAAUAAGUAGUUUUUGUUUUAAGUUAGUUUAAUGUGUUUAAAGUUUUGUUGUAUUAAAAUAUUAUGUUUUUAGAUAUUUUAUAAAGGAACUCGGCAAAUGUUUUCUGCGCCUGUUUAACAAAAACAUGGCUCUUUGAUAUAAAGUACAAAGAGUUUGGCCUACCCUGUGAUUUAGGUUUAACGGUUGCGACGAGAGUUGUACUAAGGUAGCGUGAUAAGUUGUUUCUUAAUUAGGAAAUGGAAUGAAUGGUUUGAGUGUGGAAUAGCUGUCUUUAUAAAAUGUUAUGAAUUUUCCUUUUAAGUGAAAAGGCUUAAUUGUUUGUAAAAGACGAGAAGACCCUGUCGAGUUUUAUUAAGGUUUAUAAAAGUUUGUGAUCUUAAAUUUUGUUGGGGCAAUAAAAACCAAAAUAACGGUUUAUUUUUAUUUAGAUCCUUUAGAAAGAAUAAAGCAAAAACUACCGCAGGGAUAACAGCGUUAUCCUUUUUAAGAGGUCUAAUUGAGAAAAGGGUUUGCGACCUCGAUGUUGGAUUAAAAAAACUGUAUGGUGUAGCAGCUAUAAGUAGUGAGACUGUUCGUCUUUUAAUUUUUUACAUGAUCUGAGUUAAAACCGGUGUGAACUAGGUUGGUUUCUAUCUUUAUCUUAAAUUUUCACUGUACGAAAGGAUCCGAAAAUAAAGUGUUACUUUGUUGUUAAUUAA
rnacentral:rRNA from 1 species